rnacentral:snRNA from 1 species
GGAUCUGAGGACGAUCUGGCUGUGACAUCUGUCACCCCAUUGAUUGCCAGGGUUGAUUCGACUGAUCUGGCUGGAUAGGCGAGUGUCCCCUUCCUCCCUCACCGCUCCUUGUGUGUCCCUCCCGAAGCUGUGCGCUAGGUUGAAGAGGACAGCCUUCCCUGAAUAGAGACGAACCAUUCCCCUGCUAG